GGAAACGGCAACUAAUACCGUAUACGCCCUACGGGGGAAAGAUUUAUUGCUAUUAGAUGAGCCUAUAUUAGAUUAGCUAGUUGGUAGGGUAAUGGCCUACCAAGGCAGUAAUCUAUAGCUGAUCUGAGAGGAUGAUCAGCCACACUGGAACUGAGAUACGGUCCAGACUCCUACGGGAGGCAGCAGUGGGGAAUAUUGGACAAUGGGCGAAAGCCUGAUCCAGCCAUGCCGCAUGAGUGAAGAAGGCCUUUGGGUUGUAAAGCUCUUUCAGUGAGGAAGAUAAUGACGGUACUCACAGAAGAAGUCCUGGCUAACUCCGUGCCAGCAGCCGCGGUAAUACGGAGAGGGCUAGCGUUAUUCGGAAUUAUUGGGCGUAAAGGGCGCGUAGGCUGAUUAGUAAGUUAAAAGUGAAAUCCCAAAGCUUAACUUUGGAAUUGCUUUUAAAACUGUUAAUCUAGAGGUUGAAAGAGGAUAGAGGAAUUCCUAGUGUAGAGGUGAUAUUCGUAAAUAUUAGGAGGAACACCAGUGGCGAAGGCGUCUAUCUGGUUCAAAUCUGACGCUGAGGCGCGAAGGCGUGGGGAGCAAACAGGAUUAGAUACCCUGGUAGUCCACGCUGUAAACGAUGAAUGUUAAAUAUGGGAAGUUUACUUUCUGUAUUACAGCUAACGCGUUAAACAUUCCGCCUGGGGACUACGAUCGCAAGAUUAAAACUCAAAGGAAUUGACGGGGACCCGCACAAGCGGUGGAGCAUGUGGUUUAAUUCGAUGCAACGCGAAAAACCUUACCACUCCUUGACAUGGGAAUUAUUCCUAUUCGAAGGAAUAGGGUCGGUUCGGCCGAAUUUCACACAGGUGUUGCAUGGCUGUCGUCAGCUCGUGUCGUGAGAUGUUGGGUUAAGUCCCGCAACGAGCGUAACCCUCAUCCUUAGUUACCAUCAGGUAAUGCUGGGGACUUUAAGGAAACUGCUAGUGAUAAACUGGAGGAAGGUGGGGAUGAUGUCAAGUCAUCAUGGCCCUUAUGGAGUGGGCUACACACGUGCUACAAUGGUGGCUACAAUGGGCUGCAAAGUCGCGAGGCCAAGCUAAUCCCUUAAAAGCCAUCUCAGUUCGGAUUGUACUCUGCAACUCGAGUGCAUGAAGUUGGAAUCGCUAGUAAUCGUGGAUCAGCAUGCCACGGUGAAUACGUUCUCGGGUCUUGUACACACUGCCCGUCACGCCAUGGGAAUUGGUUUCACUCGAAGCUAAUGACCUAACCGUAAGGAGGG
rnacentral:rRNA from 1 species